rnacentral:rRNA from 1 species
CGAUUCUGGCUCAGGAUGAACGCUAGCUACAGGCUUAACACAUGCAAGGUCGUGGGGCAGCAUGGAGGUUGCUUGCAACUUCUGAUGGCCGACCGGCGCGACGGGUGAGUAACGCGUAUCCAACCUGGCCCUUAGGUAGGGAUAGCCCGGCGAAAGUCGGAUUAAUACCCUAUGUUCUCUUUGACGGCAUCUGACGAGAAGCAAAGAUUCAUCGCUAAGGGAUGGGGAUGCGUCUGAUUAGGUAGUAGGCGGGGUAACGGCCCACCUAAGCCGACGAUCAGUAGGGGUUCUGAGAGGAAGGUCCCCCACAUUGGUACUGAGACACGGACCAAACUCCUACGGGAGGCAGCAGUGAGGAAUAUUGGUCAAUGGGCGCGAGCCUGAACCAGCCAAGUAGCGUGCAGGAAAGACUGCCCUAUGGGUUGUAAACUGCUUUUAUGCGGGGAUAAAGUGCAGCACGUGUGCUGUUUUGUAGGUACCGCAUGAAUAAGGACCGGCUAAUUCCGUGCCAGCCGCCGC